AGUGAACGCUGGCGGUAGGCCUAACACAUGCAAGUCGAACGGCAGCACCGUAAGAGCUUGCUCUUACGGGUGGCGAGUGGCGUACGGGUGAGGAAUACAUCGGACUCUACUUUUUCGUGGGGGAUCACGUAGGGAAACUUACGCUAAUACCGCAUACGACCUACGGGUGAAAGCAGGGGAUCUUCGGACCUUGCGCGAUUGAAUGAGCCGCUGUCGGAUUAGCUAGUUGGCGGGUUAAAGGCCCACCAAGGCGACGAUCCGUAGCUGGUCUGAGAGGAUGAUCAGCCACACUGGAACUGAGACACGGUCCAGACUCCUACGGGAGGCAGCAGUGGGGAAUAUUGGACAAUGGGCGCAAGCCUGAUCCAGCCAUACCGCGUGGGUGAAGAAGGCCUUCGGGUUGUAAAGCCCUUUUGUUGGGAAAGAAAAGCAGCAGGUUAAUACCCCGCUGUUCUGACGGUACCCAAAGAAUAAGCACCGGCUAACUUCGUG
rnacentral:rRNA from 1 species